ACACGGAAAAAACCCAGAGGAUCAGAGGCUACAGUCUUCAGGUAUUUGCAAUUUUCGGGCCUGGACAAUAAAUCCAAGCAACUGCGAAGUUACGUGUCAGUCUUAUUUUAAUAUGGAUACAGCGUCUAAAUGAGAAAUGCAGAAAAAUCGUUGGGGUUCUCCGUUCGAUUUGCGAUGCUGCUCUUUGACAGAACUUCGCACGUGUUGUCCAUUUUGUCGCAUUUCCGAACGGAAAAAUGGAGAUCUCUCGACGAGUAUCAGGAAUUGCUCGGUCCAGUCGACACGCUCGUUUUUCUGAAGCCGUAAUAUAGACGUAGCAAUAUCAAGAUAUUCCGAUGGUUUCGGGUCGUGGCACAAUUGACUCGACAAAUUCAAGUCCAAUUUAUCCAACGACCGGUCGAAUAAUAAGCUGAAUAUUCAUCAAUUAUUCGAUGUUGGGAGCACAAAAAUUAUAAGACAUAUCGAUUAUUUUUAGUCGUAGACGCACUGUGAUUCGUCGCAA